AGAGUUUGAUCCUGGCUCAGGAUGAACGCUGGCGGCGUGCCUAAUACAUGCAAGUCGAGCGAACGGACGAGAAGCUUGCUUCUCUGAUGUUAGCGGCGGACGGGUGAGUAACACGUGGAUAACCUACCUAUAAGACUGGGAUAACUUCGGGAAACCGGAGCUAAUACCGGAUAAUAUUUUGAACCGCAUGGUUCAAAAGUGAAAGACGGUCUUGCUGUCACUUAUAGAUGGAUCCGCGCUGCAUUAGCUAGUUGGUAAGGUAACGGCUUACCAAGGCAACGAUGCAUAGCCGACCUGAGAGGGUGAUCGGCCACACUGGAACUGAGACACGGUCCAGACUCCUACGGGAGGCAGCAGUAGGGAAUCUUCCGCAAUGGGCGAAAGCCUGACGGAGCAACGCCGCGUGAGUGAUGAAGGUCUUCGGAUCGUAAAACUCUGUUAUUAGGGAAGAACAUAUGUGUAAGUAACUGUGCACAUCUUGACGGUACCUAAUCAGAAAGCCACGGCUAACUACGUGCCAGCAGCCGCGGUAAUACGUAGGUGGCAAGCGUUAUCCGGAAUUAUUGGGCGUAAAGCGCGCGUAGGCGGUUUUUUAAGUCUGAUGUGAAAGCCCACGGCUCAACCGUGGAGGGUCAUUGGAAACUGGAAAACUUGAGUGCAGAAGAGGAAAGUGGAAUUCCAUGUGUAGCGGUGAAAUGCGCAGAGAUAUGGAGGAACACCAGUGGCGAAGGCGACUUUCUGGUCUGUAACUGACGCUGAUGUGCGAAAGCGUGGGGAUCAAACAGGAUUAGAUACCCUGGUAGUCCACGCCGUAAACGAUGAGUGCUAAGUGUUAGGGGGUUUCCGCCCCUUAGUGCUGCAGCUAACGCAUUAAGCACUCCGCCUGGGGAGUACGACCGCAAGGUUGAAACUCAAAGGAAUUGACGGGGACCCGCACAAGCGGUGGAGCAUGUGGUUUAAUUCGAAGCAACGCGAAGAACCUUACCAAAUCUUGACAUCCUUUGACAACUCUAGAGAUAGAGCCUUCCCCUUCGGGGGACAAAGUGACAGGUGGUGCAUGGUUGUCGUCAGCUCGUGUCGUGAGAUGUUGGGUUAAGUCCCGCAACGAGCGCAACCCUUAAGCUUAGUUGCCAUCAUUAAGUUGGGCACUCUAAGUUGACUGCCGGUGACAAACCGGAGGAAGGUGGGGAUGACGUCAAAUCAUCAUGCCCCUUAUGAUUUGGGCUACACACGUGCUACAAUGGACAAUACAAAGGGCAGCGAAACCGCGAGGUCAAGCAAAUCCCAUAAAGUUGUUCUCAGUUCGAAUUGUAGUCUGCAACUCGACUACAUGAAGCUGGAAUCGCUAGUAAUCGUAGAUCAGCAUGCUACGGUGAAUACGUUCCCGGGUCUUGUACACACCGCCCGUCACACCACGAGAGUUUGUAACACCCGAAGCCGGUGGAGUAACCUUUUAGGAGCUAGCCGUCGAAGGUGGGACAAAUGAUUGGGGUGAAGUCGUAACAAGGUAGCCGUAUCGGAAGGUGCGGCUG
rnacentral:rRNA from 1 species